rnacentral:rRNA from 1 species
AGUCUGGUGCCAGCACCCGCGGCAAUUCCAGCUCCAAUAGCGUAUAUUAAAGUUGUUGCGGUUAAAAAGCUCGUAGUUGAAUUUCUGGUACGAUGCUUUCGGCCCGGCGGCUUCGGUCGCUUGUGUGCUGGAUCUGCAUCUGCCAUCCUUCUCGAUCGUCCAACUACUGCCCUUCGUUGUGUGGUAGUUACGGUUGUAGAUCUUUUACUUUGAAAAAAUUAGAGUGUUUAAAGCAGGCUUGUGCGAUGAAUACAUUAGCAUGGAAUAAUAAUUUAGGACUUUGUUUCUAUUUUGUUGGCUUCUAGGGACGAAGUAAUGAUUGAUAGGGAUAGUUGGGGGUGCUAGUACUCAGUGGCCAGAGGUGAAAUUCUUGGAUUCACUGAAGACUAACUUAUGCGAAAGCAUUCACCAAGGAUGUCUUCUUUAAUCAAGAACGAAAGUUGGGGGAUCGAAGACGAUCAGAUACCGUCGUAGUCUCAACCUUAAACGAUACCAACUAGGGAUUUGCGGAAGUUGCUCAUUCGACUCCGCAAGCACCUUAUGAGAAAUCACAAGUCUUUGGGUUCCGGGGGGAGUAUGGUCGCAAGACUGAAACUUAAAGGAGUCGACGGAAGGGCAUCACCGGGAGUGGAGCCUGCGGCUUAAUUUGACCCAACACGGGGAAACUUACCAGGUCCAGACAUAGGGAGGAUUGACAGAUUGAAGUUCUUUCUUGAUUCUAUGGGUGGUGUGCAUGGCCGUUCUUAGUUGGUGGAGUGAUUUGUCUGGUUAAUUCCGUUAACGAACGAGACCUCGACCUGCUAAAUAGUUCGACCUAGCCUAGCUAGGCACGCGACUUCUUAGAGGGACUGUCGGUUUAUAGCCGAAGGAAGUUCGAGGCAAUAACAGGUCUGUGAUGCCCUUAGAUGUUCUGGGCCGCACGCGCGCUACACUGAUUCGUUCAUCGAGCAAAAACCUUGACUGAUAGGUCUGGGUAAUCUUUUCAAAGCGAAUCGUGAUGGGGAUAGAUUAUUGUAAUUAUUAAUCUUCAACGAGUAAUUCCUAGUAAGCGUAAGUCAUCAACUUACACUGAAUACGUCCCUGCCCUUUGUACACACCGCCCGUCGCUGCUACCGAUUGAAUGUAUUAGUGAGCCUCAGGGAUCGCUGCUUUGCUUGGUCUCCAGGUGGGGUGCGCGAGAACUGCUGCAAACUUGCACAUUUAGAGGAAGCAAAAGUC